ACGGGAGGCAGCAGUGGGGAAUAUUGGGCAAUGGGCGAAAGCCUGACCCAGCGACGCCGCGUGAAGGAAGACGGUCCUCGGAUUGUAAACUUCUUUUAUAAGGGACGAAUAGAUGACGGUACCUUAUGAAUAAGCCACGGCUAACUACGUGCCAGCAGCCGCGGUAAUACGUAGGUGGCGAGCGUUAUCCGGAUUUACUGGGUGUAAAGGGUGUGUAGGCGGGACUGCAAGUCAGAUGUGAAAAUCAUGGGCUCAACUCAUGACCUGCAUUUGAAACUGUGGUUCUUGAGGGUCGGAGAGGUAACUGGGAUUCCUGGUGUAGCGGUGGAAUGCGUAGAUAUCAGGAGGAACACCGGUGGCGAAGGCGGGUUACUGGACGAUUACUGACGCUGAGACACGAAAGCGUGGGGAGCAAACAGGAUUAGAUACCCUGGUA
rnacentral:rRNA from 1 species